rnacentral:rRNA from 1 species
UACGUAGGGUGCAAGCGUUUGUCCGGAAUUAUUGGGCGUAAAGAGCUCGUAGGCGGUUUGUUGCGUCGGCUGUGAAAUCCCGAGGCUCAACCUCGGGUCUGCAGUCGAUACGAGCAAACUAGAGUGUUGCAGGGGAGACUGGAAUUCCUGGUGUAGCGGUGAAAUGCGCAGAUAUCAGGAGGAACACCGGUGGCGAAGGCGGGUCUCUGGGCCAUAACUGACGCUGGAGGAGCGAAAGCGUGGGGAGCGAACAGG